AUCAAAGGAGGAGAGGAUGAAUAUUUCCAUUACGCAAAUGAUACAAAGAGAUAAAGUUCCCAAAUGUUAUUAUGGUAUGUACGCAUAGGAGAGUUUUGGGGAAGAAAGAACAGACUCCCGAUUUAAAAUUUAGACAACACCUUUGUCGACCAGACUCUGCAUUUCAAAACACGGUAGUCAGACUGGAGUUGGUGACAAUGGAACAUUUUGUGAUGGAAAUCUUGAAUUUAUGGCCCGAAAGUCUGUACAUCCCAGUAACCGGGUAAACGGAGAAAUUUUCGAGGAACCUCCAUUGACCGACUUGCAAAUUCUUAACACGAACAAGGAAGAUCUUCUUACAGCGGGUACGUGGAAGCGGAAGCGUAAGGAAGCGCAGAAGCGAAAUUUUUUAAAAUAUUAGGAAGCAGGUACGUGUUAGAAGCGUAUAUCCAUAUAUAAAUAUAUAUAUAAAUAUAUAUAUAUAAAUUUUUAAAAAAAU